rfam:Trichoderma harzianum strain T6776 Scaffolds0426.1, whole genome shotgun sequence.
GGCCGCGUGGCCUAAUGGCUAAGGCGCUAGAUUUCGGUUUCAGAGAAUCACCUUCUCUAGAGAUUCCAGGUUCGACUCCUGGCGUGGUCG